rnacentral:tRNA from 1 species
UCUCCGUUAGCUCAGCUGGUGGUAGCACCUGACUGUUAAUCAGGGGGUCGUAGGUUCAAGUCCUACACGGAGAG